AGCAAGACACACACAGAGAACAAGAGAAGAAAUCAAUCAAGAGCACAACGCUGUAGAAAUCUCCUGAAAAUAUCUAGGUAAGGCUUACAUAAUUUUUGUUUUCACUUGAAUUUAUUAAAUGUGAACUGGCAUACGAUGCAUGCAACGCAUGAGUCUUUUCAGCCUGAUGAUUCUGAGUUGUUGUUUGUUUAGCUGACUUUCAGAGCUUUGUAUCUUCUGAAAGUUACUCAGCAUACAGCUGAGCUGUAUGGUUUUUUCUUUUGUUGUUGUUGUUGUUGUUGUUUUUACUUAUUUUCUUGAAUAUUUUCAGCAGAAUAGCGGAAAGAGAUCAAAGAGAAACUAGAAAAUGGAAAACUAUCCAUUUAAAUGGAAGCUGGAAUAUGACUGGUUGGAGAUAACAGUCAGAUUAUCCAUCUUCACCAUCAUUAGUGUGUGUGCAGGUCUACCAGCUCUUGUUUGGUCUCUGGUUUAAAAGGAGACCACAGACUCUUGACGACCACCAUAAACCCCCCCAAAAAACAAAUUGUCCAAUCUGCAUCCCAGGAGGACUCAUCUAGGAGAUGUUUAAUCAGUAUGUAGGGACUCAAGAAAAGCUCAACAAAGUCAGUGAGGAAGAGAAGGAGGAUGAAGACCGAAAUAUGGUGUCCAUUCUUUCUGUGAUGAAUUAGAUCUCUGACAGACCAAGCAAGAGCUGGUAGACCUGCACACACACUAAUGAUGGUGAAGAUGGACAAUCCAGCCAGUCAGAUUCCAGCUUCCAUCUAAAUGGAUAGCUUUCCAUAAUCUAGUCUCUCUUUGAUCUUGUUCCGUUAUUCAGCUGAAAAUAUGUAAGUGAAUAAAUAAGGGGAAAAAUAGUAUCUACGCUGUAUAAAUGCUAAUCAAAUUUCAGAAGAUACAAAUCUCAUAAUUUCAGCUAAACAAACAACAACAUCAUCCUGAAAGCAUUUUAGACUGUAUUUCAUGUCAGUUCAUAUUUCAUGACAAAGUACGGCCAUGUCUUACCUAGAUAUAUUCAGGUGCUCAUGACAUAAGAAUGUUUCCAGUCUGGGUUGAUUUCAUCUCUCACUCUGUCUGUGUCUUGCUCUGUCUGUGUCUUGUUGGGGAAGUCGUGGCCUAGUGGUUAGAGAGUUUGACUCCUAACCCUAAGGUUGUGGGUUUGAGUCUCGGGCCGGCAAUACCACGACUGAGGUGCCCUUGAGCAAGGCACUGA
ensembl:lncRNA